CUAUCAGUGAAGGCUAUCGCUUGCUGCUGCAAGGCAGGAGAGGAAAGUCCGGACAGCGAAGGGCAUCCCAUCCCGCUAACGGCGGGACAUCUGCUAUGCUGAUUCCGAUAACAAUCGGGAGAAGCUGGCAGGUCGAGACAGUGCCACAGAAAAUAACCGCCUUGCUGUUCAUCCCCCUCCGGGGGUAUGGGGGCGGGGUAAGGGUGAAAACGGGAGGUAAGAGCUCCCGAUGGUUGGUUGCAAGGCCAGCCGUGGGUAAACCUUGGGUGCUGAAAUGCCAUGUAUAGGAGUGGAUGAAGGCGGCCCGCCUGAUGCCGCAGCAAUGCGGUACGCUCCAGGGUAGGCAGAUGCAGGCAGUCAGCAAUGGCUGUCGUAGAUAAAUGAUAGCAACACCGCUUCGGCGGCGUUACAGAAUCCGGCUUAUGCAGCUGGUAGCACA
rnacentral:RNase_P_RNA from 1 species